rnacentral:misc_RNA from 1 species
AUGUAGAAAGUACUGAACAAUCUGUCAAAAUCCGUUUGGUUUGUCUCAUUAGAGUUAUCUCUCUUUCCUCUUGGUGAAGGUUGACUAUCUCAAAAUAUUGAAAUUUUGUCACGUUCAUAUAUCAAUAAUAUGCCAAAACAUUUAGUAUAGAUUUAUCCUAGUGUAAUGGCAUUUGUUCAUGGCUUGCUAGCAAUAUUUUUGUAUACCAUUGUGAUACAGUCACAUAAAUUUUGUGCUGUACAUGAAUAAUUUGGAUGAAAAUUAAUGGACAAAUUUUUGUACUUAAGAUUGUUAUUGUUUUAUCUUGCCACAGAUGUUGCACAUUACAUUGAUAAGGUACUUAAUACAUGUAGAUGUUGAUUAUGUCAAUCAGUAAAUAUACAGUGGCAUCAUUUAAAUUUGCAGAGGUCAGCUUUUUCCUGUCAUACAUCGAACUAAAUUUUCAGCAAUCAAGAUAAACUUUUGCUUUUGUCUUGCAUGCCACUAUUUGGAGUGACCGCCUUCCUUUAAAAUUUACUUUGUAUACAGGUAUCAUGGAUUAAAAAUAAUUGCAUAUGGGCAUUUUGUCAUUUGUAGUUGUCAUUAAUUAGAGUUUACAUUGAAACGUUUACAGGUAUUUUAAUUUUCAUGCAUACAUUUGAAUGAUUUGAUACAAGAGUUCGUUCAUUUUUAUAAAAUUAUGUAAUUAUCAUGGACGACAGAAAAUGUUAUUAAUGCUAUUUAGAAUAUUUUCAUUGUACUGGUAUGUGUGUGUUUUAAAGAAAAGUGAUCAAAAAUUAUGUUAACGUUGCUUACUUCAUAGAUUUUAUGAAAUCCAAAUGUAUUGGAAUUGUUAUUUGAUGACAAUAAAAAUGUACUCAU